GGGGCUGACCUGGCUUUUGACAGCAAGUUGAAUUGUUGUGUAAGCAUGCCGAGCUACGCAAGUUAACUCGUAAAACUGAAGUGCAAACAUUCAAACGGCGAAAAUAACUACGCGCUUGCCGCAUAGUCGAAUAACAGUAGACUAAGCAUAUCCGGCUCUAGGAGCUGGAGCGAGCUGUCUCCCGGGAAUCUCUCCUUAUUGUUCCCGAUAGCGAGGCACCGACAAAUAGGGAUAGUUCCAAUGAUUACUCCGUAGUUGGAAUGAAAUUCAGGAGAUAAGCAGCAAUUUCGGUUGCCUUUUGCCCGGUUGCUGACGAAAAUUAAGUUAAGGAUAAGCAUGUAGAAAGCACAUGGGUUCCUUGUUUGGACCGGGGUUCGACUCCCCGCAGCUCCACAA
rnacentral:tmRNA from 1 species